rnacentral:rRNA from 1 species
AUGGCUGAGCGACGGAUCACGUCCGCCAUUAUAGCUGAAGAAGAAACAAGGACACAUGUGAUCAAGAUAGAUGGGUACUCAAGAAUCAAGGAGUUGCUCAAGGAUGGCAAGUAUACAACAUCUAUCCCUUUCAUUGCCGGAGAUCAUAACUGGGCCGUGAGGUAUUUCCCAAACGGUAACAGCUACGCACAUGAUUACGAACCUGGGUACGUAUCUGUUUAUCUGCUUCUUGAUUCAGCUGGUGCCAAAGAUGUGAAGGCAAAGUUCACCUUCAGUGUUCUUGACAAGGGCGGAGAACCAGUGCCUUCAUACAUAAAAACUGUGGCACCACAUAUCUUCCCAAGCAAAGGUUCAGAUUGGGGUUUUGCUAAUUUUGUCAAGCAGAAGGAUUUGGAGGGAUCAGUUCAUCUAAACAGUUUCAGAAUCAGGUGCGAUGUCACUAUUGUGAAGAUCCGCAGCGAAGAGACGCAUGCAAUUCAGUUUGUUGUGGUUCCUCCAAGCAACUUGCAUCGGCAGCUCGGUGGCCUGCUGAAUAGCAACGAUGCGGCAGACGUGGCCUUUCGAGUCGGUGGCGAGAUAUUCUCGGCCCAUAGGUCCGUGCUCGCUGCUCGUUCACCGGUCUUCAAGGCGGAGCUCUUUGGUGCCAUGAGGGAGAAAUCUGGCGAGCCGAUCGAAAUUCAUGAUAUAGAAGCUGAUGUGUUCAAGUCCUUGCUCCAUUUCAUCUACACGGACUCACUCCCUGAGAGCACUCAUCAAGGUGCAACACAGGAAGAUGUAGUGACAGCUAGCCAUCUGCUUGUAGCGGCGGACAGGUACGACAUCGAGAGGCUGAAGCUGAUAUGCGAGGAUAAAUUGUGCAAUCAUAUUGACCCCAACAUGGUUGCGACUAGUUUGGCUCUUGCCGAGCAGCAUAACUGCCAUGGACUCAAAGAGGCUUGCUUUGGGUUCCUUGCUUCUCCUUCAAAUUUGGAGGCAAUGAUCUCAAGUGAUGGUUACCAACAUCUCAAAAGCAGUUGCCCAUCUGUUCUCAAAGAGCUCAUUGCUAGACUCUUGCCUGCUGAACUGAUGGCAGCCAAGGAUAUUGUCAGGUCAAUUUGA